rnacentral:tRNA from 1 species
UAGGUUGACUCCUGUUGGUUUAGGUAAAUAGCUGUUAACUAUUUUUUGUAGGAUCGAGGCCUGCCAGCCUAU